rnacentral:lncRNA from 1 species
UUUAAUGCUCUCACUUAGCUGUAGCACUUUGAAGAAUUCAAAUUUAUUUCUUAAAUUGAGUAACUACUUUUGUUUAGUUAGUUAGAACGGUGGUUGCUAAGCUUAAGAAUCUGCAUUGACUUUUGUUUUCUCCCCAACACUUCUCUUGAGGUUGAAAUCAGUGGUGGGAGGAAAGUGUCGAAUUUUAGCACUAUUCGCAUGUUGUAUACAAUUGGGAUUUGGGUAAUUACUUCUGUCUUGCACAUUAUAAUGCCAUAAUUUGGUAAAGUCCUAAUUAUUAGUAAUUAUAGCAAUGACGAAAUAUUGUAUUCCUACACCCAACCAAGGGUUAUCAUUUUGUUGGCACUAUUGUAUUAUAUAUACUUGUCUAGUUAGUUCAUGCUUUAUAUGUAUGAUAAAAGGCAAAAAUCAUAAAGGUCAUUAAAUAUUAAAUCUUUUCUUUUGUUGCCCAGAGUAUUUUUUAGAAAUUUGAGUUGCGUCGUGGAAGUCAAAAGUUAGUUAUUCCUAUAAGAAUAUUGAUGUCAUUUUACAUAUUUCAUAGGUUUUUUCUAUCUAAAGCAUAAAAUUACCUUUUUUAAAAAAAAAAUCAUAGAUAUUAUUUUUUUCAUUUGACACUUUGAUGUGUAGUACUUUUCUUCCAGUGCGAAGUUUAACAAGGAUUGGUUCGAAAUUGAGAUUUGUGCUUGUGUAGAAUUUCAUAUGGGAUCUAAUUGUCUAUCUUUGCAUUAUUUUCAGUUCUCAAAACUGAAACGCUUUAAAAUUGAACCAGCAAGUAUGUUAUGUAACUUUAUGAUAUUAUCGUUUAGAAAAUUUUGCCUGGCUGUCGAUGUGUAAUAGAAAUUAUAAGUCCGGUUGUCAAUAUGUAGUAGAAAUUAAAAUAUGUAAUUGCAAGUGUAUAUGACUUAAUUUUCUAUUGGGUGAAUUAGAAUCAAAUGGUGUACACUUGAGUAAUAUAUCACUAGGAAAAUAUAUAUGUUGUUAUGAUAUAAUAUGCCAUGGGUUAGACACAAAUGUGUAUAUGGAUGAACUUUUAUAUUCAUGUGUUGAAGCAUAUUAAUUGUUAACCAAAUUUUGUAUCUAAGCAUGGUUUAAGUAAAAGAAAUUGUAGACUUACUGCAAGGAAGAACUUUAGAAAUUUAGUUUUUAUUGUUGGGAUUUUUUUAAUAAAGAUUAAUCUCUCGUAGUGAUUAAAAGUCUUGCAUUUUAAUUUGUUGCUUAUGUUGUUAUGUGCAGAUUUUGCUUUCCAGGCACUUUAACUAUGUGUUAGCUACUGGGGCAUUUGUAAUUCCAACAUCAAUUUACUUUCUACUCAAGGUAACCACUUCUAUUACUCCUUACAGUUUAGGCCAAUCGCUUAUGCAGUUUGAAUGGUGUUCUUUAUUCCAUUUCCUUUUGGAUAAAUUGAAUAAGUUAUUUUGAUAUUAGGUGCAUGGAUAUACUCUUAGUUCUUGUAUAAGAACUAUUAUUUUAGAAGUUAUUUUGUACCCAAUUCAAGCUAAAUAUCAUCUACAGAGGAUAAACUAGUUAUGUCUCUAAAUUUUCUUGCUUUUGUCUUUUGUAAUUUUAUUUGUUUUUACAUAAAUGACUAUCAUUAUAUGCACACAUCAGAAAUUUGUUUUUAAACCAUAUUACCUUAAGAGGGAAAAGCAAAAGAACUUAAAAAAUAUAGAAAGGACUGCCACCGAGGUAUUUUUAUUGGAAUGCAUUAGGAUUCCUAAUUUUAUUACCUUUUGGCCUAUUAUUACUUUCUUCUAGAUACUUGAAAUCUUCUUUUGUUGUAUACUUACUAUGUAACUUAUUUCUAGUUAUAUGUUUAUGUAGUUGGUCAUAGUAUUUCUCAUAUAAAUGAAAGUUGAGAUGUAAUCCAUGUUGUCUUUCACCAUAAUUUUCAAAGCCAUGAUUGAAUUCCUAUAUGUUUUGGCAGGAAGGUGGUGCAUAUAACAAUUUUGAGAUUAAAUAUUGGUGUUGCAUACUUUUUUAUAAGCAAAUAAGUUGUGUUCAAAUAAUUUUAAGAAUAUAUCUUUACUUGGUGUGUAUAAAGGUCCGAGAGGCAAGGAAUGCAGUUGCAAAAGCUCAAUAGUUGUUAGAAAAUGUGACCAACAGAAAAAGAAAUAAGCAACAAGAAACAGGUGGACUUGUUAUUACUAAUGCAAUUUAUGAAAAUCGUAAAGCUUUGAAGAAAGGAGAUGAGCUGAGGGAAGCAAACAAUGAAUUACCUUACAAGUGUUGGAUGUAACAUUAUCUCUAAAUUUCCUCGUUAACAAUUUAGGGAAACUUAAAGCUUGUUUCUUUGACUAUAUGAUAAUGUAUGUCAUUUGGUUUAUUGUGAUAAUGCCUUAUGUUUAAUUAGCCAAUAACUCAAGAAAUUUGGAAGACAAAAUUCCCACUAAAUAAGCUAUGGAAGUUGUGCACCAAAAACCAUCCAACAUGGAUUCUUUCAAUUUUAAGACUCUUGAAACAUGUAUUUUGUAAAUACAGAAGCCAAUUUGAUAAUUUGACUAUGGAUACAUUUUAGUUUGUUUAUUGGCUUCAUAUGCAUCUGAAAAUCUAGUAGCUGAUAGAUCCCAUUACCAAAACUUAUCUUUUGUAUUGACACAGUUUCAUGGUGGUGUAAAGAAGUCAGGCAUUAUGGGCUUCUACGAUCCUUGCCCUAGGGAAUCUAAGCAAUUACAUGUUGAGUACACUUAUUGCAGUGACAGAUAUGAGGUACUACGGACUAAUCACUUUUAUUUUUUUUGAACAAAAUUAUUUUGAUAAAUGGUAACGAAGAAGGAUAUUGACCAACUUGAAAUUUUAGAAUCAGGUUGUUGUAGAUGAUUACGAGGAGUUGCAAAUACCUAAAUUGGUGCACAAAAUCUGAAUUUACAAAUUUUCACAUGAUUCUCUUUUUGACUCUGACAAUUUUGUAUACCAGACAUGCUUCAAGGUACCAAAAGUUUCAGUCAUAUAAAUUCAUUAGAUUGGAUCGUUCGCAACCUGAAUAGAAGCAUUGAAUGGUAUUUUAUUUGGUGUAAUUUUGUGAUUGCUGAAUAAAUUCCUUGUUUAUGUGAUUUUGCCUCUAAUUCAAACACCUCAGCAAUCCUUUCAAGAUUAAAGUUGGUGAACCUUCCCUAAAUAUUUCAAGAUUGGGAGAUGCCUCUGUUUUCUGCCUUAGAUUAGUCUAAUCAUUGUUUUAUUUUUAUUUUUAUUGUUGACAUAUCGAUAACAUACUUUUAGAAUAAGAGAAUGGUUUGUAGAUACUAUGGAUUUUGUAAUUAUUAGAUGCCACGAAUUAAGAAUAGUUGGGAAAGCAACUAAAUUAAACCCUGUUUUGUGUGCAAUUUACUAUCACCAUGUAAAGUUGUUAACAAACAAAUUGGAAUUGUUCAAAUAAAAGCAUAAAAAUUCAAAAAACUAUAAAAAAUUUUAAAAAAUAUAUAUCCUAAAAGGACAAAUGGCAAAUCUUCUACUUCAUGUUAUUCCCUUAUGCCUAACUUUAUGCAAUUUCCUUUUAUGGUUUCGAGCUCACUUUCUUUUACCUUUCUUCUACAUAAAAAUUGCAAAUUUGAUGACAAAUCAAGUUAAAACAUUCAUCGUUUCUCUAAAAAACUUAGUCCUUCACUUAUUCCGCAACAAUCCCACCAUUUUUCAUUAAUCAAACCUGAAAAUGGCAAAUAUUAAACCCUUAAAGUUGUAUCCAAGUUUCCCAUUUGGGUAUUUAUUGAAUCCCAUUAGUUCAAAUGGGUUAGCUACCAUGAGGAUCGAGGAGGGGGGAGUAGAGACUUUUUCUUCGGUGAGAAUUUUGUGGGAAAGCUUUAUUUCCUCUAUCUUUUUUCUAUAUUUAUUCAAAUAUUUUGGAAAUAUAUAAUAUGGAAUUAAAUUUUCCCUUUUUAUUUUAUUUUGGAACAAAGCUUGAUUUGAGGAUUAGAAUGAAAUGUUUUAUGAUGUUUUUCUUGGUUUAAUGGUGUGAAGUUAAUGUUCUUUCUUUAUACGGUUUCAUUUCUCUUUUAUGAUUUUUAUUUUUUUUACAUUUUUAUAACUUUUUUAAUUUUUAUUUAUUUUCAAAAAAAAUAAAAUUUUUAUCAAAAAAUCAAUUUUAAAUAAUUUCCUAUUUUAUCUUUUAUUUUUAUCUAUUUUUUCAUUUUCUAAAUUGGGACUAAAUUGAUAAUUUUUUUAAACAAUGAAAGUUAAAUUUGUUGAAUUUUUUAGAACUAGGAUUAAAUUGAUAGAAUAUGUAAAUAUUGGAGGGAUAAUUUUAUUAUUAUGCCAAUAAAAAAUCCACAUCAUACUCCUAUUAUGGACUUAACAAUAGAGAGACAAAAAUCAAAUUUUGAAAAUGUUUGUGACUAAAUAAAAAAAUCAAUUGGGUGACCAAAAAAAAAAACUCUCAUAAUUGGAUGACUAUGCAUGUAGUUUACCCAAAAAAUAUAAUACUAACUAUUUUAGGAUUUUUUUAUUAUAACUAGUUGCAAUGCACAAAUUUAUUGUUUUUAAUAUUAAAAAUAUAUUUAAUAAUUUACAUUAUUUUUUGUUACAUAAACAUUUAUUUUUUUAUAGUAUUUAUUUAAAGUUUUCAUUUUAAGUUACGCCACAUAAGAUAUUAUGUGUCAUUUAAUAAGUAAAUUAAGACUUUAGUAACGAAAUGACCUAAUUGAUAUAACCUCAAUAGUUUAGGGGUGUAAUUAGAAUUAUUUGAAGUUUAGGGACCAAUUUAGAAUGAGGAUCAUAGUUUGAGGAUGCUUGGUGCAAUAAACCCAAGUUUUCUUCUUAAAUUUAGCUACGUGUCAUUUAAUAGUUAAAUAAACGGUUUUAAUAACUAAUGGACUUUACUGAUAUAACAUUGAUAAUUUAGGGAUAUAUUUAGAACAUUUGAAACUUAGGGACCAAAUUAUGAUGAGAGUCAUAGUUUGGAGAUGCCUGAAUUUAAUAGAUGUACAUUUUAUAUUUAAAUAAAUAAAACUAGAAAUUCUAUCACACAUAUGUGCUUGUGAAAACCAAGAACACAUAUAUAUGUAUAAAAAUCAUAUACUAUAAAUAAAAGAUAUAUGGUUUGAAACUAAUAACAAUAACAAUACAAAUGCAAUAUGUGUUAAAUGAGAUAUGCAAUAUGGAUGGGUGAAAACCUUUUUGUAAUACUAUUAAAAUGCACCAAAAAUUUAAAAUGAAUCAUUGGUUAUAGUAGUAAAGUUGAGGUUUUAUACAUGCUAAUAGCAUUAGUUUAAAUCUAAUUAUUUACAUUUUUUAUUGGUUUCAUUUAAAAUGUAAAAAGAAAAAAGUACCCUAGUAAGAAUAUAACUUAUUUCAAAUAGUAAGAAUAGUUUAGUAAUUUUCCCAACCCAACUGGUGUCUGAUUGACUUGUAAUUGUUCAGUUACCUGAUUAGUUAAAAGACUUGGUUAGUCAAGACACAAGACAGCCUAAGCAUAUUUAUAUGUUGGCCUUUUUGAUCUGGACCUUUUUGGAUGUUGUUUUAAUAAGCAAAUAGGCUUCUUGGACGUUCUGAUUCCAAUAUUCAAAGCUGAAAUUAAAGUAGUUGUAUUUACGAAGAGUUUAAGUUUGACUUGAAUUAUGGUAAGAGUUUUUUCUCAAUCUCAAUGACAUGUUUAAUGGCUAUUUUUAAGGAGAUUUAUUCUAUUUAACUUAGGACUUCGUUAAUAAAUAUUUUUCACUAGAUGUCACUUACAAAAAGUCAAGUUAAUCUCGAUUUAUUUGAGCUUAUCCUUGUUGCCUGUGAAGCCUAUAAAUAGGUUAUUAUGCCGCAUAUUUGAAGGUGCCUUUUAGAGUGCUUUUGACUGGUUAUUUAUUCAUUUUCUAUUUGGUAUUUUUGCACUCUUGUGUUAGGCUUUUAUUAGAUAGUUUAUAUUUGAUGUAAGUGAGGUUUUUGGGUGAGUGGUUUGUAACAAUUGGGAUCGGUGGUGGAGCUCCAAUUACUUCUUUGUGUAAUGGUAGAUUGGGCUUGAACCAAUAGGUGAUCCGAAAAAUUAUUGAAUAAGAAUCAUUCACUGAACGAAGCUCUACAAAGUAGGAUUAUUUUCGAACUGCGUUAACAAAGGACUAUGUGCAAAUCUCUCUUUUUAUUUUUUUUCGUUGACUGAUCAAUCCUGUAACUGAACACGACAUUCAACAGUCAAUCUAAACUUAUAACAAACCUACUAGUUUUUUUUUAAUACUAUUAAAGUGUACAAAAAAUUGAUUAUAUGCAAUAUUUAUGGGUAAAAAAUUGUGCAAUACUAUUAAAAUGUAUAUAAAAAAACAAAAUAAAGCAUUAAUUAUGCUAAUAGAGUUGAGGUUUUAUGCACGUUGGUAGUAUGGGUUCAAAUAUCAUUGUUUGUAAAUUUUUAAUGAUUUUCAUUUAAAAUCUAAAAAUACAAAAGUAUCAUUAUAAGAAGGAAAAUUAUUUCAAAUAUGUAAUGACAAAUUAAUAAUUUCCUCAACCGAGUCGAGUUAGCGCAGUUGUUGAUACAAUGUACAACAAGGAAGACAGGAUGAGAUUGUGGUGGCCCAAAAGAGAUCGGUUCACCUUAACAAGCGAAAAGCUAGAGAAAGACGAGAAGAUGGGGAAAAGGCUAUGAGGACUUAGGAAGCUUGGUUGUAAAAAGUAAAUGCUCAGGGAGAAGGAUCCAUUUCUCUUUGUUUAGGAGGGUAUUUAUAAGAGAUGUCCUCUUGUCUGUUAGUAUGACGAGCCAAGUCGUUAUAAAGGAGGUUGUCAUCAUAGAUUAUGUGAAGGACGUACACGAUGGGAUCCAUUCUAUUAUUGCUUUAGCCAAUACAAGUUUGUUACACUUAUAGGUCCUAGUAGUCACUGGAAAGAGUAUUUACAUUUGGAGUGUUUACAUAAAAAUGAGUGACCAAGCCACAAGCCACAAUGAGCAGAUGGCUAGAUGAAUGGAGGAUAUUUCUUUUAUCAAUAAGUAGCUUCGCAGCAAAUAGCUAAUGCGGGAGGUUGGACAAUUAAAGAUAACUCGAGGGAUGGAGGGUAAAAGUCGGAGGUUGGACAAUUAAAGAUAAACUUUCUAGAAGUGCUAGGUGUGUAGCUUGGGUGGUGAUAUAACAAUAAUAUAGAUUAACAAUACAAAAGGAUUAUUGUAAGAAUAUAAUUUACUUUAAAUAUAUAAGAACAGUAAUUUCCCAAUGGAAUUAGUGUUUUAAUUUACUAUUUACACCAACUCUACCUGGGUUUAAAUAAUAACAUAGAUUAAUCCUUCAUUUCAUAGAUUAUUUUAGUAUAGAUAAACUAAAGGUGGAAAAUUUAGGGAUUUAGAAGUGGUCUCGAUUUGGGGAUAAAAUGGCGAGAGCGAUCUCACCAUGCAUCUUCUGUCAAAUUGCUGGAAGUUCCAACUCCACGCCCCUCCUUCAUUCUGUUCGUUCCUUGGUUAUUUUUUCUCUUUAUAUAAUAAUCCUUUUGGCUAUCAUUUUAAUUCCACUUUCGCCUUCUUUUCAACUUGAAACUUUACCUUCUAAUUAAAUCUGUUCCACUCUUUUCAGGAUGAUAAGGUCGUUGCAUUUAAAGAUAUCAACCCUUCAGCCUUCAGGUUUCAUCAACUGAUUGAAAUGUAGAAUGCUUUGUUCCAUGAAAAUUGUGUAAUUUUAACCCUGAAAUUACUGAUUUUAACUUUAUAGGCAUUACUUGGUAGUCCCUGUGGAGCACAUUCCGACAGUCAAUGAUCUUCAAAGAAGAAAUGAGGAUUACACUUUGGGUAAAGUUCCCUUUGGGUAAAGUUCCCUUUUUUUUUUUUUACUUUUUUUUAUUUACCCUUUUCUCCUUUCAUUUUAUUUUAUUUUCCUUAGCUAAGUUUAUUUUUUUUCAUUAUGUUAUUAUUCUUUAGUAAGUCAUAUGAUAAAUGUGGGGGAAACGCUGUUACGCCGAGAUGCACCUCAGCCAAAUCAAUACAGGUAUUGCUUCUUAUAAUGCAAAUAAGUUUGCUAUAUGAAUCUCCUGUGAUGUACUAGCUUAUGGAAUUGAUCAAUGUUGAAUAUUGCUUAUGAGUUUUCAUUUCCUGACUUGACUGCCAUGUUCUGUUUAUAACUGCAUUGCAAUGUUACUGUAAUGGUUUUCUUACUCUCUGCAUUAAAACUCGGAAUUCAGUUUCCCCUUCAAAGUCAUGUAAAUGCUUGAUAACUUUUGCAAUCUCAUUCUUGUUGGAGAAAGGUAGUAUAUUUUUUAGUUAUGUUUUAUUGCAUGAGCUCGGUGGCAAAGGAGCAGAUGUUGCCCUUUGUGAGGAGAAUGACGGGGAAGAGUAUCAAGAAUGUUAGCCUUACGUUGCUCAUCCAAAUCUAUUUAAAAUCCAUGAUGGAUAAUGCUCCCACUUCAAUUUCAAAUCUGCUUGUAAAUCAUAAAUAAAACAUUGAAUGGAAAUACAGUAGUAUUAUUUACCUAAUGUUUAAUAAUUCUUGAACGAAGCAUGUCCUGGCCUCAUAAGUUACCUCAAUUCAUGUUUUAUUUGGGAAAAAAUAAAACAUUUCUUUGUCUCUGAAUGUGUUAACUCAAAGAAGGUUUAUCUUCUGAUCCUCUUGAUCCUAUGGGUUUUGGCAGAUUUGGUUUUCAUCAGCCUCCAUUUAAUAGUGUUGACCAUCUCCACCUCCAUUGUUUCGCUCUUCCCUUCAUACCUAGGUAGGUGUUUGGGAGUUAGUAGUUUAAUCUUCUUUCUUUUUUAUUAAAUUAUAUUUUUAUUUUAUGCUGAAAUUUCCCAAAUAAGUUACAAAGGCUUUAAGUGCUCAUUCUAAUUCUUAAAAUAUAUGACAGAUGGAAACAAUUAAAAUAUGUCUUUGGGACCACUUGGUGGGUUUAUUGAGGCUGAGAAGUUGUUGGAGAAGAUAAAACCUUUGUCACCAAUCCCUCCAUAGGUGCAAUGGAAUCACAUUUGGAUUUCUCUCCCAUAUUGAACUCUAGGUUUUUUUUAUAUAUGUGAAGUUCCUUGAGAAGUCAUCAUUAUUUGUUCAAGAUAGAGAAUGCCAUUAAAAACUUAUUCUUCAUAAGCUCUAUGAAUAUUUGUUAUUAUACUAGAGAAGGGUCAUUGUUCUUAAUAAGCAGACAUAAACUUCUUCACAGGAUCAUAUUCAAAAUGUCCACAGAUUUUUCAAUGUCAAUUGUGUAUUCCAGAUGUACAAGUGUCUUAUGAAUCUGCAAUUUAUGAUGCUUGAGAUUCUUGUAGCAUAAUCAAUUCCCAUAUUCAUAAUUUUGUUUCAGGUCACAUUGUUUUAGACUAAUGAUAAAUUUGUCUGUACACGAAAUGCUAAAUUUAUGGCUAAAUUGACUCUUGUCAGCUUCUAAAAAACUUACAGGAGCAAAAGUAGAGUUUUGAUACUGGGGAAGAUGAACUGAUCCCCUGUUAAUCAUUUUUACAUUUUUAAGCAUUGGUCAUAUAUGUAAUAACUAUAGAAGUUUUGUGAAGCAAAAAAAAAAAAAAAAUAUAUAUAUAUAUAGAAGUUUUAAUGGUUAGUACUGCAACCCAUAUGAUAAAUGGUGGUAACUGUUAAAGAAGGUAACUUUUUUCUUUUGGUGAUUACCAAAAGUUACUGCUCUUGAUAGAUUUGGCAUCCAUUGUGCAAUUUGUAUGACAUGGUUAUUUCAUCUUGCUAUACUAACACACUAUUUGUAAAGAAUUGUUGUUCAUAAGUUUCAACUUAAUCUCUAUUAUUAUCCUUGUUAGUAUUGUAGGUUUACUUCAGCUCCACAAUCAGGAAAUACUUCAAAGAGUUACUUUAGUUCUUUUAUGAAAUGCUUAAUUGUUUUUAGUUAUUUCUUUACAAGAAUUCAAGGAGAAGCAUAACAAAUAUUAGUAUGAAUAUAUGGUAGGCCAGUGAAAUGCAUGUUACUUAGUGACUGAAUCAUUUAAGAAGAAUUUAUCCAUCAUAUGCAGUUCUGUUUGGUUUGAAUUUAUUUGUAAGGCCCUCAACAACGGGUUUGACAGUUGCUUAAAUUUCUAAUAAAAGUCUAAUUCGGGUUCUAUUUUUGGGUCUGGGGAUGAUGAUCUUUGUUAGAUAUUAUUAGUUCAUGAUCAACACCUUCCUUUAUUCAUAUGGUAGAUAAAUUGCAUUACUGGUUGCGUCCUGUGCAUGAAGUAAGUUGUGUUCUUCUUAAACAUUAAUAACUUUGGAGGCUUAUCUGAGGAUGCUACAAUAGGGAAGUCAGAGUUUUAAUGUGAUUAAUGUGACUUAACUCUCAUCAUUUCUUUCUGUCUAUGAAAACCACUUUUUGAAUCUUGAGAUCAAACAAAAUACGAUCUACUCACAGGCAUCUUGUGUAACAAGAUUGAAGACAGCUUGCAGAGCCUUUAAAGUGCUCUAUGUCAUGGCUUAAUACUGUGUUUACCAUAUGCUGGAAUCCUACUGACCUGGUUGAUGAAAUGAUGGCAAAAGUAGCCUAUUUUUUAACAUUCAAGGAAACAAAUUCAAGUGAGGAAGUAAACCCAGUUCGAUGAAUGGAACGAACCCAACACAAUUUUCACACAACUCCCAUUGUUUAUAGUUUCUUAUGGAGUUUGAGGAUUGAGGAAGGCACCAACAACUUGCAAAGCAAAGGAUUUGGGUGUAUGCUUGUGCUGUUUUGAAAGAUUUGAUUUUAGUUGUGCAGAUGAAUCUAACUGAACUCUGGUUCCUUUUGCUGUAAGCCUGAAACUGUACCAAAAAUAAACUAAUAAGAAAUCCCAUGUCUGCCUCUAAAAGAAUACAAUAGUGUAUGUGUUUUUUCUAGAGUCUAUAUUUCAUUCCAUACAGAGGAUGAUGCUUUGCUUAAUCUUUUUUCUUAAUUUGUCAUUUAGAAAAAUGAUUUAUGUUAUUAUCUUCUUCUCUAUCAAGCUCAAUCGUUCUUGCUUUAAACACCCAAGCCCUCUUUAAAUAUUCUCUUUCUCUUUCCUUUUUUUUCUCGCCUUUUUUUUAGAAGUUACUUGCUGGGAGAUACAAAGGUGAGAGAUUUAGGUGUAUGGUAGUGGAAGAUACAUGCACCAUCCAUGUUUUGCCCUUGAUAGGGUAAAAGGACAAAAGAUAGCGCCCAACUCCCAAACUUCAGAGCGUAAUGCUUAGCUAAGGGCACUCACGAGAUUUCCCUCUUUUCUCUUGUCGCAUUAAUGGAUUACUUUGUUUUCUUUCAAUACCAUAAAUCAUCACAACAGAUAUCCUUCCAUUUGUUUCCUAGACCAUUAAUCAAGUUAUUAGUGUCCUAUGUAUGUAGGUCCUUUGAUUGCUACAAUCAUGUAACAUCCCAAAUACCAUCAGAUUUUUCAGAUGAAAAAACACAAACUUUCUUCCCAACAUUAUUAUUUCAUAAACUAUUGGAUAAGGUUUGUAAUUUAAGUACUGAAUAUGAGAAAUGAAAAUGAAAAUUCAUAUAAUGACUUUUAGCAGAUAACAAGUAAAUAGCAGUGCUGGCAAUAUCUAUAAAGAAACUGAUAAAAGAAGACUCAUAAAGUAGUUUGUUUUUCUUACUUGCAUUGGGUAAUUUGAUUAUGUGCUGCAUUUGGAACACUCUUAUCAAUGUUUUGCUGCUUCUUCCCAAGUUAUUCAGGUUUAUUGCUGUAAUACUAACCAAGGCUGCCUCAAGUAAUUGCUAGUCAGCCCAUGCAGUAAAACAGAGUGGUUAUUAAAACUUUAACAUUCAAAGAUAUUGAUUAAAUUAUCUUUAAACUUUUAACAUAUUCAAUAUUUUACAUUAUAAAUUACGACUCUCACUUUGGACUUGGGUUAUUACUUUAUUUUGCUAACAAAUUUCAAUUAUUUUUCAUUCUUGAAUUGACAAAAAUGCAGUCCCUACUCUCCAUAAUUAUGAGACAAUUGAAGAGAUUGGUGGGAACUCAAAACCUUUGUAUUUCAUGCAAUUUCUUAAUUAAUUGAUUUUUUUAUAAUUCAGACCUCAUUGAUUUCUUGGGAAUCAUUUCCAAAGGCCUCGAAUUGCAUCAUCUUGAGAAGUAAUAAGUGUUAAUUUAGAAAUAGGUUUAAACUUUUGUCCUUGUUCAAAGUCUCAAACACAUGCAAUAGUUGAAUAUAAUUUACGGCGAAAUGAUUUGAACUAAUAUGAAUAAAGUUAUUACAUUUUAACAAGAAGCCAUUUUCAUUAAAAAUGAAAUCCCCUGUUUUAUGAGCUGCAAAAAAACGUUAAGAAUUGUCACCCGCCAACAAACCAGAACCUUCCCCCCCCCCCUCUUACCACCCCACCCUUUAUAAACAUCACCUUUCUUUCACUUGUCCCAAAAUUCAAAUCAUCUCUCUUUCUCUCUCUAACUUUCCCUCCUCUGUUUCUUACAUGAUCCAGCUAUAAGCAAAGCAACAAGACUCUGUUUUUGCUCUGUUGUUUUACAAUUCUGAACUCAAGCCAUGGCAACUUGUGUUUGUCUGCUAUACUUGUUUCUCUUUUCCACAUGCUGGCUUACGGUUUCAAUGUCAGAAACGCUACUUCUUCCUUUAACUCGUGCAUUCUCCAAAACCCAUUUCACCACCCCACACCACCUCCUCAAAACCACCUCUGCUCGCUCCGCCGCCCGAUUCCGCCACCGCCAUAAGCAAGUUCCACUUCCUCUUUCCUCUGGUAGCGACUAUACUCUUUCCUUCACUCUCGGCUCCCCUCCUUCCCCGCCUAUUUCCCUUUACCUUGACACAGGCAGCGACGUUGUUUGGCUUCCUUGUUCUCCAUUUGAAUGCAUCCUCUGCGAAUCAAAAGCACCACCACUCUCUCCUCCACUUAACCUUUCCGCCUCAGCCACUGCUGUCCCAUGCAAAUCCUCCGCCUGCUCAGCUGCUCACUCUUCCCUCCCUUCCUCUGACCUUUGCGCCAUGGCACGUUGUCCCCUCGACGCCAUCGAAACCUCCGACUGCAACUCCUUCCCUUGCCCUCCUUUCUACUAUGCCUACGGUGACGGCAGCUUAACCGCCCUUCUCUAUAAAGACUCUUUAACUCUCCCAAACUCUCUCUCUGUUCAAAACUUUACUUUUGGUUGCGCCCACACCACCUUGG